AUUGAACGCUGGCGGAAUGCUUUACGCAUGCAAGUCGAACGGCAGCACGGACUUCGGUCUGGUGGCGAGUGGCGAACGGGUGAGUAAUACAUCGGAACGUGCCCAGUCGUGGGGGAUAACGUAGCGAAAGCUACGCUAAUACCGCAUACGAUCUAAGGAUGAAAGCGGGGGAUCGCAAGACCUCGCGCGAUUGGAGCGGCCGAUGGCAGAUUAGGUAGUUGGUGGGGUAAAGGCUCACCAAGCCGACGAUCUGUAGCUGGUCUGAGAGGACGACCAGCCACACUGGGACUGAGACACGGCCCAGACUCCUACGGGAGGCAGCAGUGGGGAAUUUUGGACAAUGGGCGAAAGCCUGAUCCAGCCAUUCCGCGUGCAGGAUGAAGGGCCUCGGGUUGUAAACUGCUUUUGUACGGAACGAAAAGGCUCUGGUUAAUACCUGGGGCUCAUGACGGUACCGUAAGAAUAAGCACCGGCUAACUACGUGCCAGCCGCCGCCGUAAAAC
rnacentral:rRNA from 1 species